rnacentral:tRNA from 1 species
GCUUUCGUGGCUUAGUUGGUUAAAGCGUCGGUCUCAUAAUCCGAAGGUCGCCGGUCCGACUCCGGCCGAGAGCA